UUUCGUUUACUUUGAUAGACCGACUAUACUCUAACUUCGAUAAUUCUAGAGCUAAUACAUGCUAAAAACCUCGACUUCGGAAGGGGUGUAUUUAUUAGAUAAAAAACCAAUGCCCUUCGGGGCUCCUUGGUGAAUCAUAAUAACUUAACGAAUCGCAUGGCCUUGCGCCGGCGAUGGUUCAUUCAAAUUUCUGCCCUAUCAACUUUCGAUGGUAGGAUAGUGGCCUACCAUGGUAUCAACGGGUAACGGGGAAUUAGGGUUCGACUCCGGAGAGGGAGCCUGAGAAACGGCUACCACAUCCAAGGAAGGCAGCAGGCGCGCAAAUUACCCAAUCCCGACACGGGGAGGUAGUGACAAUAAAUACUGAUACAGGGCUCUUUUGGGUCUUGUAAUUGGAAUGAGUACAAUUUAAAUCCCUUAACGAGGAACAAUUGGAGGGCAAGUCUGGUGCCAGCAGCCGCGGUAAUUCCAGCUCCAAUAGCGUAUAUUAAAGUUGUUGCAGUUAAAAAGCUCGUAGUUGAACCUUGGGCCUGGCUGGCCGGUCCGCCUCACCGCGUGUACUGGUCCGGCCGGGCCUUUCCUUCUGGGGAACCUCAUGCCCUUCACUGGGCGUGUUGGGGAACCAGGACUUUUACUUUGAAAAAAUUAGAGUGUUCAAAGCAGGCCUUUGCUCGAAUACAUUAGCAUGGAAUAAUAGAAUAGGACGUGUGGUUCUAUUUUGUUGGUUUCUAGGACCGCCGUAAUGAUUAAUAGGGAUAGUCGGGGGCAUCAGUAUUCAAUCGUCAGAGGUGAAAUUCUUGGAUUGAUUGAAGACUAACUACUGCGAAAGCAUUUGCCAAGGAUGUUUUCAUUAAUCAGUGAACGA
rnacentral:rRNA from 1 species